CAUGUCCCAGUUCCCAACCACUAAGGGGAAUAUUCCACUUAAUUAAGAGAUUUUUCGAUAAAAAUAAAUAAAUAACCACUUAAUUGAGUUCUACGAUUUAUAAUCUAUGCAUAGAACAACGGUUAAAAUAAUCCUUGCGCUCUUUGUAGUAAUUUUUUCGAGUUUCUUGAGAGUGCACGCGCUGCCCCGGGAAACGAAGCGCAUGUGUAAGCUAGUUUGUUAAGAAUUGACAAAGUACAAUUGUAACUAUUGUCGCCUUCAUUUUAUAUAUAUAUUGAACAAGUUAUAGCUUUUUAUAUUAAGGAAGAUGUAGAGAAUGCAAACCUAGGGUCGAAAUUUAGUUAAAAUUGCCGAUAAAUUGUUAAUUUGCAUGGUUGGGUACUCGGACGUUUCAACCGUAUGGUGUACCAAUAGCAAACCAAGUGGCUGGAUACUGGUACAACCAGGCGAUCGGAUAAUGUCUUAAUUGUCGGACGCGUGUAUCAAUAGCGAACCAAGUGGCUGGAUACUGGUGCAACCAGGCGAUCGGAUGAUGUCCCAAUUGCCGGACGCAACGAACUCAGCGACCAUAACUUUGAUGAAAAUUAACACGAACGAUCAGCAUUGACGCGCGGCAUUGUUUACUAGUGUGCUUAAAGUGUGUUUAAAAUUACGCUAAACUAAGGCGAUUAUUCGCAGGACAUCGAGUGGCCCGAGUGGCCGGAUAUCGGGACAUAACCAAAAACUGAUGGUCGGGUACUGGGACAUUUUCUCGCAUUUUCCGAAAAAAUCAAAUUAACUAUUACCGAUGGAACUAAUUAUUGGAUGGUUUCCAGAAACGCGUCUUAAAGGGUCCGCUACUGGGACGUUUACCUUACUUAUCAAAUGCUUUUAAAAAAACGUUCGGCUGCGCUCUCUGAAUGAGGCGCUCUCUGAUAAGCAUGUCGAGUGGAGCAGAAUAAGGAGCCAAAUAAAAGAAAUCCAAGUUGAUAUAAAUUCUCAAAACAUAAAAAUUAACCAAUCAAAAAGCUGCAGCGAUACAGCAUAAAAGUGAAUACUGAUUUAAAAAAUAAAUAUUGAUAAAAAAAACUAAAAACAUAGUUUCCCACUGUCCUAGAUUAAUAUCGUCUUGAAAGGGUUAACGAGCGUUUCUAGGACGAGUGAAAAAAGAGGGCGGAAAAAGGGGGAGAGAUCUCAACCGGAGUUCAGAUUGUUAUUCUCGAUAAUAUACGAUGUUUUAAUGAUACUACCGCCGAUCUGCAUGAUAAAUCGAUUUCUGAGACGGUCGACAAAUUCCGUUUCAAAACGCGGCCAAGGGACGUUAUAUAACGUUCAAUUAAUCUCGCAUGACUAUAUCCGUGUCGCGGAUAACGUAAUUAAUUAAUAACUGAGUGAAGAGCUAUUUCGACAAGUCGUAACUCUUGCUUAUAUAUUAGCGAAAAUUGAAAUGCGACUUUAACUAACGACGUUCUCGAUUGAAUAUUCACGGAUCUGGUAAAUUAAGCUCUCGAAGGUUGAAUUGGCCAGAAGACAUGACGUUUCGGGGUGUUUCAAAUAAGUAUUACCUUUGUGGUGGUUGAAAAAUGGCGAAACCAAAAGAAAAGCAUCGGGUUCCGCCAAGGACGCCGGAUGCUGAACCGUCGAAGGUCACCCCCGUGAGUAAUUUACAUUACUCUUCCAAACCUUGCAGCGACAAAUAGCAAUCUCGUUCAUCAUGCCGUGGCGCGCGUCUUCUCGACUAUGCUAAACAACGAAAUGUCGGAAAAUCGAACAAAUUGCAUAAAAAUACAAGACAUGGAUUUUCAAACCGUAAAGAAAAUGUUGCAUCACUUAAAAAAUGGCGACAUUUACAUACACGUGGACAAUUACAACAUUUAGUAAAAGUGUCACAAACAUAAUGAAAAAAUUAGUGACAAGAAAACUUGCAUUAAUAUGCACAGCACAAAAAAAAAUUGAUGCCAAAAUUGUUCUAAAAGAAACUCCGAUCUGCGACUGCAUUAUUGAUGUUGUUGUAAACAUUAUUGAGAAGCAUGGAAAAUGUAUUACCCAAAAAGAAAUAUAUUCAGCUAUAGGCAUUACUUUAAGGGGUAACGCCACCCUUGAGACCCAAAAGUUAUAUCUAAAUUUGGGAAUUUUUUGUGGGAAUUUUGUGUAAAUUCGUAUUUGAGACUUAUAAACUUCUCAUAGAACAUCAGAUGUAUUAUAACAAAACUGCUUACGAACUCAAAUUGACAAAAAAAAUUGAAUACAAAAGCCAAGAUGAUUUAAAAGAUUACAAAACUU